GCCGCCUUAGCUCAAUUGGUAGAGCGGGAUCCUUGUAAGAUUCAGGUCGUCGGUUCGAUUCCGACAGGCGGCUCCA
rnacentral:tRNA from 1 species